UACGUAGGAGGCGAGCGUUGUCCGGAAUCACUGGGUGUAAAGCGCGUGUAGGCGGCCUGCCAAGUCUGCUGUGAAAGCGCCUGGCUUAACCGGGCGAGGUCGGUGGAUACUGCAGGGCUAGAGUCCGGAAGAGGCGAGUGGAAUUCCUGGUGUAGCGGUGAAAUGCGCAGAUAUCAGGAGGAACACCGGUGGCGAAGGCGGCUCACUGGUCCGGUACUGACGCUGAGGUGCGAAAGCGUGGGGAGCAAACAGG
rnacentral:rRNA from 1 species